GACAGGCAAUGGCACGGACGCCUCUCUCUGCCGGGGACCCGCAGCCGCCGCCGUCCCGGGACUCGGGAGAGGCUCGGCCGGGAGCCGGGUGACCUUCCCAAGAUGGCGGCACGAAGGGGGGGCGCGGUCGAGGCUCGCGGUCCGUUCGCUGCGCUGCCCGCACGGCGCCCCCGUGGCGGCGCCGGCCCGUCGGGGCUUUCCGCGGUGGUUCCGGUGCGGGGCUGGCGGGCUGUGGGCUCGGCAGCGCCGCGGGCGGGCGGGUUUUGGGGGGCCGCUGACGGGCACUGGCGUGGUGGCCUCUCUUCGCCGAGGUACUCAGGGUGCAUCCUGUGCUGCUGGAGGGGGCUUUUGUACUGGGGAAGCUUAUUUUAUUUUUCCGAAUGAAAAUAAGCUGCCCGGUAUGCCCGUGUAGGCGUCAGUAAAACGCUUGCUUUGGUAGGGAAUUUAGUACUUAAAAGUAGGGGGUUUAUUUGAUUUAAGCGUGGAUGAGUCUCCAAUGACUCGAUAGUCACAACAAUGUCAAUAUUACAGCCAGGCAGGUGACCGCGUUGGAGAGAGGAGGGCAGCUGCCAGCAGGCAGCCCCCAGGAAAACAGGGGAGUUUCAGUGGUUUCUGGAGCCUGAGGAACAGGGAGAUGCCCUGAGCUGAGCAGGAGUUAAGCGCAGUCAUGCGGAGGCCUGGCUGUUACGAUUGAAGGUCGCUUCGUGAAUAUCGAUAGUUUCUGUAGGUAUUUUUAUAUCUAUAGAAAGAUAAAAAGUAAAAGUAGACUAUAGAGCAUUGUGCAGGAGAAGAAAGAACCCUUUAUGUAAGAUGUGACCUGAGGGGCAUCAUGCCAGGCUGUCCCUUCCAGACUGGGAAGGAUUCAGUGUUUUGUAUGGCACGAUGGAGAGUUUUGAAAAGUAAGAUUUCCUCUUCGGUGCAGGUCCGAUGGGUGAGGCCUGGCAGCUUGUGCACUGCCACUGUGGUACCCUGCGUGCCUCUCCUUCCCUCCCUGCUCCGCAGGCACAGCACGGGAUCAGCAGGGAGAGGCGGCUCUGUCGUGGAGGAUCCAGGAGCUCGGCGUGCGUGUCUGAGCCUGCAGCUGCGAGCCGCAGCAGGACCCAAGGUCUGCACACGCCUGUGUACAGAAGAAUGAUGCGAGAACAGAAAAGUUGCAAUGGCAUUGCAGUUCCCUGCACAGAAAAUAGCCAGGGAGGUGAAGCCCGGCCAAGUGGUGCCGUUCGACUGCGCCCCGACUGGGAGCAUCAGGUUCAUUCCCAUUGUGAUCUGCAAAUGGCAAAUCAGGGUUGCUCUUUGUUAAAACCAAAAGGGCUCUCAGAAUGUUGAUGGAGGUGAUGAUUGCAGGGGCGAUGCUUCUGGAGAAUAGCUCCCCCAUCUUCCCCAGGGCCUGGGCAGAGAGAGGUGGAGCUCGGAGUCCCCCCAGUCCUCCCGCGGGUGCUGGCGUCUGCGGCGCCAUCGGGACGGGAUCCACGGCGCAGCUCCCUCCUCCAGAGGCCGAAAGCUCAGCCUCCAGUUUCGUGCAGGGUGAUCACCUUUCCAGGGCAAUACAAGCACUUCCCAAGAGCAGCUGGUGAAGAUGGCGCAGAAGCAAGGACAAGGGUGCAGUGAAAAGUUUGGUGCAUCGAUCCAGCUUCCGGACAUGGUAGGGAAGACACACCGUUUGCUAAAACACCAAACACGGUACUUUUCAUUCUUUGUGUUUUUCUGUGCCCCCAUUGUGAUCACCCCUGGAAGUAUUAUUUUCGAAAAACAUAUCUAGGAGAGAAAUCGUAACCUGCUUUGCGUCCUUCUGCCUGGAAGGGUUGUGACACAGGGAAGUGAGGAAGGGGCUGGCCGGGGUCAGCCUCUGCUGAGCCUCAGCUCUGGCUGCUGCUCCUGCUUCCCGGGUACAGCCAAAAGCUGUCAUGAUCAAAAGAGCAGGCAGCCCUUCUGUCCUGAGUCACAGGGGCCAUUUCUUCCUGAGUGACUCAAGAUGGGAAAUCAUUCUUGGAGCUUCAAAAGAAAAAAAAAAAAAAACCUCACGCAAUCAUUUGUAAGUGUGUAUAUAUACACAUAGAUUUCCUUCAAUGAAGAAGAAAAUCUUAGAAAUAUCAUGUCACGUCUGGCUUCCUAGAGAAAAUCCUUAUCUCUGGGCUUCUGAAAUCAAAUGUCUGUGCAUUUAUAGAGCAUUUCCCCUCUUUUGAUGUGCCUCCCACAGUGAUCUUCUACCCUGCCCCACGGCAAGAAGAGUUUGGUGAUUUUGCUGCUCUGCUCUCUCAAGGGUGUUGCAGGCUGCGUAGCAGGGAGUGAAGCCCUUGUCGCUGCUCAUCAGACACUUUCCUACAGAAUUCUCCCUGCAGUGAUAAAAUUAGACUGGUGUUAGUGAGCUGCCAAGUAGAGCAGGUAACAUUGGACAAGAAUUGUUUCUGAGCUGCUGUUCACUAGCACGUGUUUCCCCUUUCCAGCGCGGUGCCGCCGCCCAAGAAAGGAUUUUUGUGGGUCAGCCAGAUGUGCUCCUGCCUCCCACUGAGGCUCUGAGAUGGAGCCGAGUUUGCAUUCCAGUUUAUUGCAACAGAGGGUCACGGGAAAUUUCCUCAGCUAUCUCAGGCACAGAGCCAUGGAAGCAAGACAGCACGAAGACUGAACGUGUAAGAAGAUGUGGGCUGCAAUGGAGAACCUGGCAGGAGCAUCCGACGCACACGUGCACGAGUUUUGCUUUUUGCUUGGAUUGAAACUCAAAAGUUGUAAGGAAUUUGGGAAUGAGAUGGGACGUUUCAGAAGAAGAGGAAGGAGGAGAAGUUGUUGUUGUUACAGUGUUACAGUCCUGGCAAAAUCCUUUGUUCUAGCUAAUAAAAGAAGUUAGUUAAAAAAAAAAAAUUAAAAAAAAAAAAAAAAAAGUGUUUUUUUUCCUUGAAUAUUAUAUUCGUUGGUGGUGUA